GACGAACGCUGGCGGCAUGCCUAAUACAUGCAAGUCGAGCGAACAGAUGAAGUGCUUGCACUUCUGACGUUAGCGGCGAACGGGUGAGUAACACGUAAGGAAUCUACCUAUAAGCGGGGGAUAACAUUCGGAAACGGGUGCUAAUACCGCAUAAUAUCUUCUUCCGCAUGGAAGACGAUUGAACGACGGCCCUGCUGUCACUUAUAGUUGACCUUGCGGUGCAUUAGUUAGGUGGUGGGGUAACGGCCUACCAAGACGAUGAUGCAUAGCCGACCUGAGAGGGUGAUCGGCCACAUUGGGACUGAGACACGGCCCAAACUCCUACGGGAGGCAGCAGUAGGGAAUCUUCCGCAAUGGGCGAAAGCCUGACGGAGCAAUGCCGCGUGAGUGAAGAAGGCCUUCGGGUCGUAAAACUCUGUUAUAAGAGAAGAACAAAUUGUAGAGUAACUGCUACAGUCUUGACGGUAUCUUAUCAGAAAGCCACGGCUAACUACGUGCCAGCCGCCGCCGUAA
rnacentral:rRNA from 1 species